rnacentral:rRNA from 1 species
AUUGAGUCCCGAUCUAUAGGUAGAGUUUUCCCCUUCGGGGGACAGAGUGACAGGUGGUGCAUGGUUGUCGUCAGCUCGUGUCGUGAGAUGUUGGGUUAAGUCCCGCAACGAGCGCAACCCUUAAGCUUAGUUGCCAUCAUUAAGUUGGGCACUCUAAGUUGACUGCCGGUGACAAACCGGAGGAAGGUGGGGAUGACGUCAAAUCAUCAUGCCCCUUAUGAUUUGGGCUACACACGUGCUACAAUGGACAAUACAAAGGGCAGCGAAACCGCGAGGUCAAGCAAAUCCCAUAAAGUUGUUCUCAGUUCGGAUUGUAGUCUGCAACUCGACUAUAUGAAGCUGGAAUCGCUAGUAAUCGUAGAUCAGCAUGCUACGGUGAAUACGUUCCCGGGUCUUGUACACACCGAAA